AGGCGUCUCCACGUUACUGUAAUAAAGGCGUAUAAACAGCAUAGCACAGGAAAUGUUUGGAUGAAUGGGUUUUUGUUAUAUAAAUGCAUCUAGGAAAUGGGUAAAUUUUCUACAUCGUUUGUUAACGGGUUAAUAAUUCAUUAGUUACCACGACGUGUAUGAGUGUCAACAAGGCAUAGCCCACCAACCCCUUAAAACCAAGGAAUCCCACUCUUACCAGCCGGAUUGCCGCUAUCGUGUUUUCUGGUGCGUCGUGGCCGCCUCCCCGGUGAGCGACCACGGACACCUUCCCGGAUCCAGCCGGGUGAAGCACUUGUCGUGCUCGGCUGGCUGGCAGCUGCGGGAAACGGAACAUGGCCAGGAAGAGGUAGAGGCAGCCGGUAAGGACUCCGGACCACACCGGGCUGCGAGUGGCAAGCAGAGCCAACACGAACACGACCGAGUAGAGUGAGACUUCAUCGCCCAGCUGCAGCAUGUCGCCCCCCGGCCACGACGGUACCUCGUCCCGUUUGAUGUGCGACGAAGCCGCAACCUCCGCAGUCUCUCAGCGUCAUAUCCGCAAGUGGUUAACUGACGCCUUUAGACAACAUACAACAAUGCAACGAAUAAUAUAUGUUGUCAUAAACACAUACUGAAAUGUAAAUUAAUAUAUUGUGAUGGUUUGUUUUGAAGGUCAAAUAAGAAAACGUUUAUAAAAAGGUGUUGACUUAUUUUCUACACUUGGUGGCAACAGUGAGCAUUUGCAUUGUUUUACGAGCUGCUUUCAUGACCUAUGAAGGAACUUAAACACUUCCGGGUUUCUCUCGUGCCCUACAUCCAGAAGUCGGCUGCACAAUGUCAGCAAUAUAUACUCCUUAAAUUCACAAGCAACAUUUCUUUAUUCAUCCCGUUGCGUGUCCCGAUGCCUGCUUUGAUUUGGUCAGUGUCAGCAGGCAGAUUUAUGCCCAACUUUCUGUCAUGCUUAAGAAGAUCACGCCGGUUCACCAUUCCUUCAUUUUUUGGAGUGCGGACUUCUGCAUCCAAGCUCCCAACCCUCCUAUAUGGCUCUCAUGGAUCUCUUACUCCUCAAAUCACCACAUGUGUCAGGUAUUCAGACUUGUCCACACGGAAUUACGACAUGAUUUAUAAAUUCCAUUAUAUAAAGCUCUUCAGAGCUGUAUCGAGGCUAAAAUUACUCCAAACUGGGAUCACUGUGAUUAUCCUCCCACCUGUGUACACUCUGUACUUCAUGGGAGACGUACCACUCUUUCUUGUCAACUACUCGACGGGAAUGGCUCUGUUUGCUGGUGUCAUGUUAUACACAGCUAGCCACUUCUUCAGAAGGGUUGUGGGAAUGAUGUACCUGGAUUCGUCCGAUAGCACGCUUAAAGUGUCCCACCUGACUUUUUGGGGCAGGCGUCAUGACAUCUUCAUGCCUGUAUCAGAUGUUAUGACUGUUGGUGACACUGGGGACUCUCCAAAUGAGACCAUCCUAAAACUCAAGCGAUACAGCACUCCUCAGACUUUUUAUUUCUCCACACGUUUUGGGCAAGUGGUAGACAAAGAACGUUUUAAGAAGGUGUUUGGUAGUAUGAGUUGACAUGUGUUCCGUGUCAUAGAUCGGAAGUUUUGUAUUUCAAUUUUUAAGAUUAAAUUGGUCUGUUUCACAACAGAAAUGAUGAUUUUUUUCAUGUAAAAUUCCUUCCAUUAUGUGGUAUCCAAAUUUAAGGAUAACAUUGCUCAGUGUGUUAGUAGUAUGUGUACCGUAGUAGGAAAGAAUUUUGCUGAAUGAUACUGAAUGGUAUUUCUGUUCUGUAUUUAUGAAACUACUGUAUGUAUUACAUGCAAUCCAAUAAAUGAACUAAGCUGCUGUAGUUUUUACAAACUGUCUUGUUAGUUUUUUUUGUUGUCACAUAAAUGAUAAAAAAUACCAUCCUGAGAUUGAGAUGAUGAAGGACUCAUCAUCACAACUAGGGUGGUCAAAAGUAGUGUUGCACGGAUACCAUUUUUUGGCCCCGAUACUGAUACCUGGCUGUGCAGUAUCGGCCGAUACCACUUUGUUUGAAAUUUUUAAGUGAAUCCAUUAGAACUUACAGAAUUUAUUUGCAAAUCAUGGUGGAAAGUAAGUAUUUGGUCAAUACCAAAAGUUAAUCUCAGUACUUUGUUAUGUACCCUUUGUUGGCAAUAACUGAGGCCAAACAUUUUCUGGAACUCUUUACAAGCUUUUCACACACUGUUGCUGGUAUUUUGGCCCAUUCCUCCAUGCAGAUCUCCUCUAGAGCAGUGCUGUUUUGGGGCUGUCGUUGGGCAACACGGACUUUCAACUCCCUCCACAGACUUUCAAUGGGGUUGAGAUCUGGAGACUGGCUAGGCCACUCCAUGACUUUGAAAUGCUUCUUACGAAGCCACUCCUUUGUUGCCCUGGCUGUGUUUUUGGGAUCAUUGUCAAACUGAAAGACCCAGCCACGUCUCAUCUUCAAUGCCGUUGCUGAUGGAAGGAGAUUUUCACUCAAAAUCUCUUGAUACAUUCUUUCCUUUACACAGAUCAGUUAUCCUGGUCCCUUUGCAGAAAAACAGCCCCAAAGCAUGAUGUUUCCACCCCCAUGCCUCACAGUGGGUAUGGUGUUCUUCGGAUGCAAUUCAGUAUUCUUUCUCCUCCAAACACGAGAACUUGUGUUUCUACCAAAAAGUUCUAUUUUGGUUUUAUCUGACCAUUACACAUUCUCCCAGUCCUGUUCUGGAUCAUCCAAAUGCUCUAUAGUGAACCGCAGACGGGCCUGGACGUGUAUUUUCUUCAGCAGGGGGACACGUCUGGCAGUGCAGGAUUUGAGUCCCUGGCGGCGCAUUGUGUUACUGACAGUAGCCAUUGUUACUGUGGUCCCAGCUCUCUGUAGGUCAUUCACUAGGUCUCCCCAUGUGGUUUUGGGAUUUUUGCUCACCGUUCUUAUCAUUUUGACGCCACGGGGUGAGAUCUUGCAUGGAGCCCCAGAUCGAGGGAGAUUAUCAGUGGUCUUGUAUGUCUUCCAUUUUCUAAUAAUUGCUCCCACAGUUGAUUUCUUUACACCAAGUGUUUUACCUAAUGAAGAUUCAGUCUUCCCACCCUGGUGUAGGUCUACAAUUUUGUCUCUGGUGUCCUUCGACAGCUCUUUGGUCUUGGCCAUAGUGGAGUUUGGAGUGUGACUGGCUGAGGUUGUGGACAGGUGUCUUUUAUACCGAUAAUGAGUUAACCCCUUAACGCCGAAUGUCGCGAUUCGGCAUCAUACCGUUCCCGCUUUGAAAGCGGCCAAAAUAUCGUCUGCCUUUGUUCACUGCUGGUACAUUAAUGUCAAACACAUGCCUAGGAACCUUUUUCAAGCAUUAGUUUCAGUCGUGUCCGACCAGAGACAACACCGCUUCCUUUUCCGGACCGUGAUAUUCAAGAUGAAAGCCACGUCGAAGUCCUGCGCACCAACUUGACUAAUUCAUUCAAUUCAAGAAAUACAAAUGAAUGCAGCAGCUUUUUACGCAAAGCUAGCACACUGGGCCAAACCACCUCCUGUUGAGAGUGCUCUCAGUGAGAGUGAGGGCAGCGAUGAGGAGUACAAUCCUAAUAAAGCAAGUGAAGGUGAUGAAAGCAGCAGCAAUGACUCUACAGUGGACAUUAGCAGCAGUGAGGAAGAUGAUGAUGAUGAUCCGCCUCAUCCACCUCCAACCACCAGUGCUGCACCUGCAAGACCUGCAAGAGCUACAUCAAGGGCAGAUCGAGCCUAAAGCAAUAUAUCAAAAAAAAAGCCACACAAAUUGGGAUACAAGAUUUUUGUACUGUGCGACACAAGAGGUCUGGUGCACUCAUUUGACAUAUUCACAGGGAAAAUAGAUCCGGUACCAGGCCAACCAGACAUAGGAGCCAGUGGUAACAUUGUGCUCAAGCUUGCACAAGUCAUUCAUCCUGCUGUUCUUUGAUAACUGGUUCUCAUCUGUAGAUCUGUUUGUUGCUCUUGCAAAAAAGGGCAUACCUGCACUUGGGACCGUGCAGCACAAUCACCUGCGUGGGUGCUGUUUCAGUGCAGACUCAUAGAUGAAGAAGAAGCGAAGAGGGACAUUUGAAGAGCAAGAGGCUCUUGUGGACAAUGUCUGCAUAAGAGCAGUCAAAUGGUUUGAUAAUAGAGGGGUGAUUGUUGCCAGCACAUUUGCCAGUGCCCUGCCUGUUAUGAUAAAAAUCAUCUUUUAUUUAUUUAUUUACAUCAUAUGUCUUUUAGUCUGAUUAAAAAUGUGAUGUACAUCUGUGUUUAAACAAAAACAAUAAUUGAUUUUCAGAAUUUCACAAGCAGUGAAAAAAGAUGUUGCGAUAAAAGUGUGUUCAGACCUGAGAUGGGAAUGUGCCUUUUUUGCCAUUUGUUUUCCUUAAUUGCCUGUUGUCGCUAAUCGGCAUCAUACCUAAAUGUAUGACUAUUUUAUGGGCUAUAUUCAAAUUAACACUUUCAAUUUAAUUUAGCAUCUAUUUGAAAGUAAAAACACACCCCAAUUAUUUUUUUUAUUAUUGGAAAAAAAAUUAGGCAUUAAGGGGUUAAAACAGGUGCCAUUUAUACAGGUAACGAGUGGAGCCUCGUUAGACACCUUUAGAAGAAGUUAGACCUCUUUGACAGCCAGAAAUCUUGCGUGUUUGUAGGUGACCAAAUACUUAUUUUCCACUCUAAUUUGCAAAUAAAUUAUUUAAAAAUCAAACAACGUGAUUUUCUGUUUUUUUUUUUUUUUUCCCACAUACUGUCUCUCAUGGUUGAGGUUUACCCAUGUUGACAAUUACAGGCCUCUCUAUUUUUUUCAAGUAGAAGAACUUGCACAAUUGUUGGUUGACUAAAUACUUAUUUGCCCCACUGUAGUUCACAUUUGUUAGAGCUGUACUGCUUCAUGAGAGAUGUGUAAUAUUUGGGUUGCAAGUUAAAAAUAUAAGGAACAGACUUGAAUACAGUUAAAUCACAGUAUAUUUGAUCAAACGUUUGUAGUGGUUGACAUACAAGAAUGUAUUUGUUGUCACUGACAUGAGCUUAAAGGGAAAGAAAAAAACUAAAAAAAAAAAAAAGAGGGGUUAAAGUUUUUAAGUGUGCAAAUCGUAAAUGUCUGGCUUUCUGAUAAUUGAGAAAAUAAUGUUUACACAAACAAUGACCCACUUAGGGACCCUACCAUGUCACACACAUACACUGAUAGGCUCGUGAACAGGUGCAUGUGAUGAUGGGUAUUAAUGACAAAACAAGGAAGGCCGGCCAAUUUGGGACACUCACAUUUAAUUGGCUAAAACAGACACGCAUUGAUAAAGUGUCAGCCUCAAUGUCAAGUGGCUCCUUCAAGUUUUCUCCACUAUUAUGCAUAAUGAAAAUGAAAUUGCGUCUUUACAACUUAUUAAACAAGAUUCUUCCAGCCGGGAUCGACAUGAUAAAGGUGUUGUCAUUCCCUUUAGGUCAUUAUUGCAGUAAAUAUAUUGAAACACUAAUGUCAUAACUUCUCUGGAGGACCUCUUAAUAAUUAAUUAUUAUUAUCAUACAGUUAUUUAACAGCACAACAUAAAUACGAGAGUAUAUUAUGGCAGUUGUCUGGAUGUCAGAAUGAAAUAGAAUACCACAGUUGUCAACAUUCACAGAAGGUACCAGGCUGUAAAGCCGGCAAGGAAAGCGAUCCAGGUGGCCAGAGCCACUUGACAGGGUAAAUGUUGUAGAAGUGCCUUGGCGAACUGGCAAGCAUAUGUUGGAUUUCCACUUACGGCUUUAAAGAAGCCAUUAGAACAUGAGGAGGAAAGAGAGAGAGCGGGUUAGUCAUAAGAAAUAUGACUACAGAAUAAUGUACAGUAGAUCUAUGUCUUACCCAUUUUAGCUGCAUAGUACGGGCACUUGUUGAUAUCACCUCCCUGCAUGAUUUCUGCAUGACUAUGACCAAAACCUGCCUCUCGUGCUUCCUCUGGGAGGCUUUUUCCAAUCUCUUCAAGCUCCCCGAACACCUAUUUUUAGACAAGUCUUAGGACGUUCUUGUCUGAAUUACUCCUAACCAUUCUCUCACCAUCAUGUUGAAGCCAAAAGUCCGGUUGGAUUCAGCCACAAUCUUCCGCUUGGUUUCAGUGUCCAGCUCUAUCUCAUUCAUUCUGCUCCUGUACAGCUGCUUGAAGGCUUUGUGACUGUGGAUGCCUUCGAACUGGUAGAAGUUGACGCCCUCGCCAGUGGAGGGGAGUUUGAGUGCCCUCUGAGCCACUUUCUUCAGGAUCUGCCCGCCCGAGAGAUCGCCCAUAUAGCGCGUGUACGAGUGGGCCACCAACAACACUGGGUCCUGCUCCCCAACCUCAUGGAUGCGCUCCACAUAAGGCUUGGUGCCUGCUGAGAGGGUGAUCUAAGAGAGAUGGAGACAUUCAGGAUGAUUUCCAAAUGAUUAUGUCAACUAGAAAACUUAAAGGCUUUUUCGCUGACCUGAGAUUCCCAGUCGGCACCGUAGAAAUACUCGAGAUCUCGGGCCAAAGCCUCACAUCUGUGCAACUCUGUGGGGAAGUAGAUUGGAGCAACCUGUGGGUGAUCUUUGUUCUUCUCUAUCUCCUCCUCCAUGGCCAAAUAGACAAAGUAUAGAGCUGCUGUUCCUCGCUGAUAAUAAAAGAAUAACAAAAUUAAGUUUAGGAUGUUGGAAGCACUAACACUGACUGACAUCUGGCAAAUAAACAGUGCAUUACUACUGUAAGUGAUUCAUUUGGAUGUAAGAUAGUCUUCUUUUUCCCAUAAAAAUGAGUUUUGUUUUAUAUGUGUUGUUCCACUGUUUUUGUUCCAUUAAUUGUGGCUUCCAAAACAGCAACUGUUGGUAUUAGCAUUUAGCAAUGCUGUUUGCAUUGUUUGAUCAUUAGUGUUUGAAUCCAAGUUUCAUUCAUUGGUGGAAUCCUUCUUGUUGGCUUAUAAUAGGGUGACGAUAUUUUUGAUUUCCAAAAAUGAGGACACACGGCCCGGCCUUGAGAUACUUGAAUUUUACUCGAAGUUCACUCAAAGGUGCCUUUAUC